rnacentral:ncRNA from 1 species
AUAAUGGUACUUCCGUAACUCGCGGCCCGGUCACAAAGAAGACGGGGUGGCUGAGAUGCCAAUGA